rnacentral:rRNA from 1 species
CUUUCGUUAUCGGAUUACUGGGCGUAAGCGCGCGUAGGCGGUUUGUUAAGUCAGAUGUGAAAUCCCUGGGGGAAAAAAAAGGGAAUGGCUUUGAGACUGGAGGGCUCCUUCUAAAAAAAAGCCCCGGU